rnacentral:rRNA from 1 species
CCUACGGGUGGCAGCAGUGAGGAAUAUUGGUCAAUGGGAGAGAUCCUGAACCAGCCAAGCCGCGUGAGGGAAGACGGCCCUAUGGGUUGUAACCCUCUUUUGUCGGAGAACAAAACCCGGGACGUGUCCCGGACUGCGUGUAUCCGCAACAAAAGCAUCGGCUACCUCCGUGCCAGCAGCCGCGGUAAUACGGAGGAUGCGAGCGUUAACCGGAUUUGUUGGGUUUAAGGGGUGGGUAGGCGGUCCGGUUAGUCAUCGGUAAAAUUGCGGGGCUCAACCCCGUCGAGCCGUUGAAACUGGCAGACUUGAGUUGGCGAGAAGUACGCGGAAUGCGCGGUGUAGCGGUGAAAUGCAGAGAUAUCGCGCAGAACUCCGAUUGCGAAGGCAGCGUACCGGCGCCAGACUGACGCUGAGGCACGAAAGCGUGGGGAUCGAACAGGAUUAGAUACCCCAGUAGUC